CCUACGGGAGGCUGCAGUGGGGAAUAUUGGACAAUGGGGGGAACCCUGAUCCAGCCAUGCCGCGUGUGUGAAGAAGGCCCUCGGGUUGUAAAGCACUUUCAGUGAGGAAGAACGCCUGGUGGUUAAUACCCAUCAGGAAAGACAUCACUCACAGAAGAAGCACCGGCUAACUCCGUGCCAGCAGCCGCGGUAAUACGGAGGGUGCGAGCGUUAAUCGGAAUUACUGGGCGUGAAGCGCGCGUAGGUGGCUUGAUAAGCCGGUUGUGAAAGCCCCGGGCUCAACCUGGGAACGGCAUCCGGAACUGUCAAGCUAGAGUGCAGGAGAGGAAGGUAGAAUUCCCGGUGUAGCGGUGAAAUGCGUAGAGAUCGGGAGGAAUACCAGUGGCGAAGGCGGCCUUCUGGACUGACACUGACACUGAGGUGCGAAAGCAUGGGUAGCAAACAGGAUUAGAUACCCUAGUAGUC
rnacentral:rRNA from 1 species